rnacentral:lncRNA from 1 species
AAUAGUAAGACGUCAUGGCUGGUAUUUGAGCGGCUCCCAUGGGCUGUCAAGUCUUUGUCACAUGUUCCACUCAUUAUUUGACAGAAACCCUUCUGUGAUUGUAUCUUUCUCAGUUUGUAAAGCUGAAUUUUUAGUCCAGUUUCUCUGACUGAUCGCACGUGAAGUCCCAAGUGGUGUCAAAGCAGGAAAAAACAAGUGAUGGGAGUUGCCUUAGCAUUAAACACAUUACUGAGAUGAUUGUGUAUUAAAUGGACUCAGGUUUUUCCUUGUUUUAGCAGCCACAUCCACCCACUUUACGUCAGGAGAGGAAGCCUGUGUAUUUCCUCCCCUUCUUUAUCUAAAAGGAAGUGCCAAAAUAAGCAUCGUUGGUGGAGCGCCCCCAAGCUCGGACACCUUUCACACUGACCACUCCAGUCCAUGGGAGAAGUCAGAGAGGUUCCAGACCACAGAAGCACCAUGAAGUCCAUCAGGAAUCCUGUCUUCCUCCUGCUGCUGCCUCUGCUGGCAUCCGUCCACGUCUUCGCACAAGGUGCUGAUGAUACGCCUACUCAGAGCAUUAAUGAGAUGCAGCCAACAGAGGCAGUAACAUCAGCGGAGCAGAUAACCACCACAGCACCAGCACCCCUACAGACGACAGUGGCAACAGCAGCCUCUGCUCCUCACAUCCAGACGACCUCUGACAGCAUUAAAGCACAUUCCACACCGGCUGUGACACCUCCACCUACACCAACAGCUACAGCUAUAGCGCGGCAGCCUGCGACCACUCUGUCUACAGUUUCUUCCCAUACUGACAAGGAAGCGGUGGAGACCAGCACAGGGACCGUGAUCAGGCCGAGUGAGACUCCAGGACCUGAAGACUCCACUAAGAAAACCGAAGAGGGUACAACUGCUUUCGUCACAGUGCAUCAUCCCACACAUCCCACCAUGAUCUCAGUAGAGCAGAAGAAAGAGGCUAAUGAGAACGAUGCAGGUCCUCAGACAGGCAGUGACGAGAAGACACCCCCCAAAUCGGAUAAAAGGCUGUGGUGGAUCCUGCUGCCCGCCCUCCUGGUUCUAGGGGUUCUUGCUAUUGUCCUCAACUUCAAAUGCAAGAAGGUUCACGAUCACACAGAAACCAUUGACACUGGGACCGAGAAUGCAUCUUUUCAGAGCAGACCCGAAAGCACCAAAGAUGGCGUCAUGCUCCUGGGAGUGAAGUCAUCAGGUGGAGAAGAAAACGCUGCUGCAAGAUAAAAAAGGGGCAGUAACAUCAUAAUCAGCAAGAGGAAAAGUCGCCCAGGAUGGUCUGAAGGACUUUUUUUUGUUUUAUUGAAAGAUUUGUAUGGGUUCUAACAGGUUCUUAUUUUUGUUCUCACUCUUCUUGUUCUAUGAUUGUCUAAAAAGGUCAACGAGACCCGAAGACACUAAAAUGAACAAAUUCCACUCGAGCCUUUUACUUCUGAUCCAAAUGAACCACUUCAAUUUAAUAAAACAUUUUGUGCAGCAGGGAAGAGUUGCGUU